rnacentral:rRNA from 1 species
GGUCAAUGGGCGAAAGCCUGAACCAGCAACGCCGCGUGUGCGAUGAAGGCCUUCGGGUCGUAAAGCACUUUUCUGGGAGAUGAGAAAGGACAGUAUCCCAGGAAUAAGUCUCGGCUAACUACGUGCCAGCAGCCGCGGUAAAACGUAGGAGGCGAGCGUUAUCCGGAUUCACUGGGCGUAAAGCGCGUGCAGGUGGCUUGGUAAGUUAGGCGUGAAAUCUCCCGGCUCAACUGGGAGAGGUCGUCUAAUACUACCGGGCUUGAGAGCAGAAGAGGAAGAUGGAAUUCCCGGUGUAGUGGUGAAAUGCGUAGAUAUCGGGAGGAACACCAGUGGCGAAGGCGAUCUUCUGGUCUGUUUCUGACACUCAGACGCGACAGCUAGGGUAGUAAACGGGAUUAGAGACCCCGGUAAUCCUAGCCGUAAACGAUGUAAACUUGGCGUUGGUGGGUUAAACUCCAUCAGUGCCGCAGCAAACGCGAUAAGUUUACCGCCUGGGGACUACGGCCGCAAGGUUA